AGUGGGGAAUCUUGGACAAUGGGCGCAAGCCUGAUCCAGCCAUGCCGCGUGGAUGAUGAAGGCCCUAGGGUUGUAAAAUCCUUUCGUUGGGGACGAUAAUGACGGUACCCAAAGAAGAAGCUCCGGCUAACUUCGUGCCAGCAGCCGCGGUAAUACGAAGGGGGCUAGCGUUGUUCGGAUUUACUGGGCGUAAAGCGCGUGUAGGCGGGUCGUUAAGUUGGGGGUGAAAUCCCGGAGCUCAACUCCGGAACUGCCUCCAAAACUGGCGACCUGGAGCAAGAUAGAGGCGAGUGGAAUUCCGAGUGUAGAGGUGAAAUUCGUAGAUAUUCGGAGGAACACCAGUGGCGAAGGCGACUCGCUGGAUCUUUGCUGACGCUGAGACGCGAAAGCGUGGGGAGCAAA
rnacentral:rRNA from 1 species